AUAGUCCACGAUGUCGUCGGUCCCUUCGGGACCAAGAGGGAAUACGGUGGGGAGGGAAGAAAAUGUCCGUCCGAAACCGUGGCUGCCCCCGCAACUGUGAGCGGUAGUCCUCUCCAAUGCCACUGAGGUUCGCCUCGGGAAGGUGGAGAAGGGCGCAGAUCCGCAAGCCAGGAGACCUGCCGGCGACAGCAAUGAUGG
rnacentral:ncRNA from 2 species